rnacentral:rRNA from 1 species
AUACGUAGGGUGCGAGCGUUGUCCGGAAUUACUGGGCGUAAAGAGCUCGUAGGUGGUUUGUCGCGUCGUCUGUGAAAUUCCGGGGCUUAACUCCGGGCGUGCAGGCGAUACGGGCAUAACUUGAGUACUGUAGGGGAGACUGGAAUUCCUGGUGUAGCGGUGAAAUGCGCAGAUAUCAGGAGGAACACCGGUGGCGAAGGCGGGUCUCUGGGCAGUAACGGACGCUGAGGAGCGAAAGCAUGGGUAGCGAACAGGAUUAGAUCCCCUGGUAGUCCAUGCCGUAAACGGUGGGCGCUAGGUGUAGGGGUCUUCCACGACUUCUGUGCCGUAGCUAACGCAUUAAGCGCCCCGCCUGGGGAGUACGGCCGCAAGGCUAAAACUCAAAUGAAUUGACGGGG